GUAAAUAUGUACAAGUAUACAAUUCAAUGAAAUUGAAGGUCCUGUUUUAAGCUGCAACAUGACUUGCAAGACGCAUUAUACAUAAGCGUGCAAGCAAGCAAAUGCGAAUAACUAACAUAGCAAAUGGAGUCGCCAACAAUCUCAGAAGCAUCGCUUCCUCUGUCUCCUCUUUCAGAUUUACCUCAAUUCCUGACCCUGAACUGAUUUUAAACUUGAUAGAAAUGAAUCUGUAUCUAAACAUACGGUCCAUGAUUAUCCCCUCGAACUUUUGAAUUUUGGAUGUGAAAAUUGUCAGCAACAGCGAAUAAUUUCGGCAUACCGGGACAACUCUGGGACUUUUCAGGGACAGUCAGGUCAUUGGGACAAUCAAAGAAUGGCUCAACAGUUGAGUAGCAAAAGACAAAACAGCAACUUACAUCUUUACAGAGGAACUUGAGUUUUCAGGACAUCAGCAAUGCAAAUUAUCGGAAGAUACUUUGUGACCAUAAAUGCCACGGAUCUCAGGAGGAAGCU
rnacentral:misc_RNA from 1 species